GAGGUGUGAGUCUGUCAAGCAACGGAGAGACGAAAGAACGCAUGGUCGUUCCCGCACACUGCACUCUGUGGAAAGUCCCUGGACCAGCGGCUGAAAGAGUCCACGAUUCGGAUCGUGCAUUUCCUGAUGUCCUCCGGGGCGCUUCACGGAUCCUGCGGGGUUCGAGCGAAGACGGCGACUGGCUAACGAAGCGGGCCAUGAGGUCGAAGGACGGAGCUCGGGUCAGCGUCGAUGAGGGAUUUUCGUCCUGCCAAAGUGACGCUUGAAAUUUGUGCAAAACAGCAUAGGGCUUACUGACACUUGGCACCU
rnacentral:RNase_MRP_RNA from 1 species